GCUGGACUAUGCAAAACGGUCGCGUUGUGUUAAAAAUAUAAAACGAAACAGAUAUUACCAAUUUGUUUCGCCCCGUGGACUUUCAUUAACCACUGCCAUAACUAUAAUAACCUGAUAAAGAUUAAGGAGGAACAAGGAGAAAUGAAGAAAAUGAAGAAGAAAAAGAAUGGAAAGAAACCAAAUGUUUCCAUCAUAAUUGAAAAGUUUUUGAAAAGUUACAGAUGGCACUGUACUCAGACCUCCAGCGCUGUCAGCUCAAUGCUGAUACAAAGUCUGCAGAAAUGUAUUGAAAAUGAACAUAUGCUCACAAAGUUUAUACUUGCACGUCCUGAGGCAACUGCAGUUGAUUUGCCACCAGUCACUUUGCAGCCAUUGCUAAUGACAAUCCGAGAUGAACGUUACAUGUAUGGGAAAGAAUU